GGACGGUGAUCGAGCGGCAGGGACAGCAGUCUUCCGCGGCCCCGGCCUUUUGGACCGACCCGCUCGUGCCGCCGUAGCAUGGGUCUCCCUGGACGCGCUACCCGCAGGGUCUGGUCUGGGGGCGCGCGGGGGCGGGGAGUAGGGACCAGGAACGGCCGUGCCUGCGUGACACGUGACUGUCGGCCGAGCUCCGGGGCAGCCAUCUUCAGUUUUCCCGGGCCGCAGGCGAAGAACCGUCCGGGAUCUGGAUAGACUCUAUUCAGUCGCCUCCCCACCAGGCCCGGGGACCAGCCCUCACCUGCAAUCCGCUAGUCUACAGCGGGGGUACAGCGGCGCCGGCGAUACCGGGAGGACAGGCUGUCUCCAGAGCCAGAACCUAAAGGCUGAGAAUUGGAGAGCCGCUCUCCUGGAGCUGAUGGCUUCAGCUUUUCCCCAGGGGCGGAAGUUGGGGAAAGGAGUUCCCGUUCCUAAGGCGCCCGCAUCGCUCCUCCUGCCGCUUCCCUGUUCUGACCCAUUCCCGGGGACAGAGGAUGAAGGUUGCUGAAGUUGUUUGGACAGCCGUCGCCCUCCUCCAUGCUUUUCUCCUGCUGGUGGUUAGCUUGGAUGGUAGCUUGUUUAGUCACCUGGGGUCCUGGAAUCUCUGAACCUGCAACCUCAUUACCCGAGAAUUCUUUAGAACGGCACAUUCACGACCACACCUAGACCUACGGAAUCAGAAACGCCUCUAGUGGGGUCCUUCCCGAAAUCCGGUUAACAAGCUCCCAAGGUGAAUCUAAUGGCCGCUUUCCCUAAGCUGUAGAGACCGGUUUUCACGUACGACGCUGAAAACUUAGCGUCCUCUUCCCCAAACGGUGAAAAAUCAGAUUAAAAAUGCGUCUGCUCCCAUGUGAUCUCU
rnacentral:lncRNA from 1 species